UCCUUCCAAUUAUCAAACUUUUAUAUACAAUAUCAAGAUGUUUGGACAAUACUUGAGAAAAGUAAUAUUGCCAUGAUAUUGCUUUCUUAAAAACUAGAAAUAUUUUGUUUUUGAUUUUCUUCAACUCAUUUUGUAUGUGAUAUAUAGCAAAUGGGUGUAGAUUAAAGACAAUCAUACAUUU
rnacentral:misc_RNA from 1 species